UACGUAGGGGGCAAGCGUUGUCCGGAAUCAUUGGGCGUAAAGAGCGUGUAGGCGGCCCGAUAAGUCCGCUGUGAAAGUCCAGGGCUCAACCCUGGGAUACCGGUGGAUACUGUCGGGCUCGAGUCCGGAAGAGGAGUGUGGAAUUCCUGGUGUAGCGGUGAAAUGACGCAGAUAUCAGGAGGAACACCGGUGGCGAAGGCGGGUCUCUGGGCCGAUACUGACGCUGAGGAGCGAAAGCGUGGGGAGCGAACAGG
rnacentral:rRNA from 1 species